GACGAACGCUGGCGGCGUGCUUAACACAUGCAAGUCGAACGGAAAGGCCCUGCUUUUGUGGGGUGCUCGAGUGGCGAACGGGUGAGUAACACGUGAGUAACCUGCCCUUGACUUUGGGAUAACUUCAGGAAACUGGGGCUAAUACCGGAUAGGAGCUCCUGCUGCAUGGUGGAGGUUGGAAAGUUUCGGCGGUUGGGGAUGGACUCGCGGCUUAUCAGCUUGUUGGUGGGGUAGUGGCUUACCAAGGCUUUGACGGGUAGCCGGCCUGAGAGGGUGACCGGCCACAUUGGGACUGAGAUACGGCCCAGACUCCUACGGGAGGCAGCAGUGGGGAAUAUUGCACAAUGGGCGGGAGCCUGAUGCAGCAACGCCGCGUGCGGGAUGACAGCCUUCGGGUUGUAAACCGCUUUCGCCUGUGACGAAGCGUGAGUGACGGUAAUGGGUAAAGAAGCACCGGCUAACUACGUG
rnacentral:rRNA from 1 species